rnacentral:rRNA from 1 species
UGGGGAAUUUUGGACAAUGGGCGCAAGCCUGAUCCAGCCAUGCCGCGUGAGUGAAGAAGGCCUUCGGGUUGUAAAGCUCUUUCGGCGGGGACGAAACGGUCCGUGACAACACCACGGACUAAUGACGGUACUCGCAGAAGAAGCACCGGCUAACUACGUGCCAGCAGCCGCGGUAAUACGUAGGGUGCAGGCGUUAAUCGGAAUUACUGGGCGUAAAGCGUGCGCAGGCGGCUCCUUAAGUCAGAUGUGAAAUCCCCGGGCUUAACCUGGGAACUGCGUUUGAAACUGGGGAGCUAGAGUGUGGAAGAGGGGGGUGGAAUUCCAGGUGUAGCAGUGAAAUGCGUAGAUAUCUGGAGGAACACCGAUGGCGAAGGCGACUUCCUGGGCCAAUACUGACACUGAGGUGCGAAAGCGUGGGUAGCAAACAGGAUUAGAUACCCAAGUAGUCCCUGAGCGGGCUGGCAAGGCGCAU